rnacentral:other from 1 species
AGGUGUCUGAGAUGUGCGUUGUGUUUACAUUGUGUGGACCGAUCAAUUAUUUUUUACCUUGGGAUCCUGUCAAAUUAUAAUGAUGACAUGCCUUAUCACUUGGAAGUCAGGGAUUGUGUUUGUGGAGCCCACCUGCAUAUAAAUGCGGGUUCAAAACAUGUAAGCAUGGAGACGGCAUCACCGGAUGCCUU